AGCAUGAGAGUGUUUUCAAGGAUACAUAUCAGAUUGUCCUCACCAUGGAAUGGCCAGAUGGUUACUUAUGCAAACCAUCUACCAUGGAUUAACCCAAAAGUCUCGUGAGUGCUUAGAUGCAUCUGCUAAGGGAUAAUUUUUGGAUCUUACAAUUGGAAAAGCAGAGAUACUUUUGGACAGGAUAGCAGAAAACCAAAGCUUGUUCCAAGAUAAAGCUCAACAUUGUCAUCAAACUGAAGAAAUACCCGAAGAAGUAAAUGCACUAUCAACCAAGAUGGAAAAUUUGCUCCAUCGGCUUGACCAGUGAUGUGACCAUACCAAGGCAAUCAACAUUCAAGCAUCCACUCAAGGUGAAAGCUAAACUUAAUUCCAAAUCAUUUAGGUUUCCAUAUACAAGGCUACUACUUGGUUUAUAUGAUUAUAGAUUCAAACACCUUGCUAUCAUGGAACAAGAAGAUUGCGAUGUUAUCACAACAUUACAAACCGAUGGCCUAGCACAACUCUUUGGAUCAGAAGAGUUAGAGUCGAGGACGACUCCUUAUCAAGAGGGGGAGGAUGAUAUGACCAUGCCAGCAAGCAUGAUGUCACAAGCUCCAAGUCAAGCUACAACCACUCAAGUUUUACCUACACCGACACCAGCCCAAGUCAUCGAUGGACCAGUUACACGAAGUUAUGCAAAGAAGCUACAACAAGAGGUUCACGCGCUACUUUGUGAGGUUCACUUUAACAUUAAUGAGAAUUAUAUACUACCUAAGUGUUCUACAUUGAUUGUACUCAAGUAUAUAGAAGAAGAAAAGAAUGAAUCGGACCCUGAAGAACGGACCAGUGCAAGUCCUAGAAUACAAUACAAAACAGACCAGAGAGUCAAAAACAGACCAGUGGACGUCAAGAACGGACCAGUGCAAAGAAAUCUUCAUAACGUUUUACUCACAAAAGCUAUGAAGGCCCAUGAGGACUUGUUGGAAAGCUUAUCGAGUCUGCUUUCCAAUGCCUCAAGUCCCAUCUCAUUUGGACAAAGCAAUCAACAGUUAUGCUUGAAUUAGUCAAGACUGCUCAGAAGGUCAAUAGUCUAUCGUGACAGAAUGUUGGUACAAAUUACCGUGCAAAACUGUACCAAUAUACAAUGUUUGAUGGUUCAUGGCAUACAUUGCAGGGAAGAUCUUGGAGUCUAGUUUCACACCCAAGAAACGGUUCGUCAUUUGGACUUCCCAAUAAAAAGUUAUGGUCAGUUUAUUGGAAACUACUUUGGAGGCCAACAGUCACAUGAAGCCAGUUCGGGAAUCCAUUCCGAGGAGAACUUCCACAUUGCCUUUCCCCAGAAACUCUAUUUCGUUUUCAUACCUAUCUAGGAGGGUUGUUCCUAGUAUAAAUAUCCCCAACCUCUAAGCUAUCAGUAACUUUUGAUCAUUUGAUAAACUACAUGAUAUUGCAGCCGCGCUGCUGAGUGCCUUACUCAACAUUUGUUCUUCCUUGUUCUUCUUGGACUUGUGAAGUGAAUCCUCUGGGUUCCCCUACUUCGUGCUCUACGGCUUCCGUUCGGCUACGCCGUAUUGUGUGGAAUAGUUCCGAAUUGUGGUUCUACGGUCGUUCGGAGAUCGAGUUGAAGUCUUCAUGGUUUCGGUGCCUCUCUCCCCGUCGCUUGGUCGCAUCCAACCUUUGUCAGGUAUAAAGCUAGUUACCCGCUGUUCGCAGCAAGUUAUCCUUGUUCUUUUGAUCUACUGUCGUGAAGAUCGGGCCACCCUCGUACCGAUUCAUAUAGGUAACCUAUCAACUGGUAUCAAAGCUUUUGUUGUCACGGUAGGUCUCACAAUCAUCCACAUAUCUACCUUUAGUUUAUUUAUCGUUUGUUACUGUUUUAUUCAUCACCUAUAGUCCUCUGAAAAAGCCACAAAAAAUCCUAGAGCCCUUUGACGGUACUGUUAUCUUAUGUUUUGUGUUCAUCAAGUUGCUAGUCACCCUCUUUAUAUAUAUUGUGUUGUGUUUCAUUUGUUAUCGGCACCCCUGUUACUAAAAAAAAGAGUUCAAAAAAAAUAUAGAGAAAAAAAAAUCAGGGAAAGGAAAAGAGAAAGAACAGAAAAGUAGAAGAAGAGGAAAGGGGUUAUAUUGCGGUUUGCUUAGUGAAAAAUUUAGUUUAUAUAUUCAGAUUCUUGGUGAUUUAUAUAUCAGCAAUAUUAUAUCUUUUGAGCACAUCAAAUCACUUGAUUUUCAGUACCGUAGCCUCCCUUGUUUAGCCACCUAUAGCUCCACUCAAAAAAAAUGAAACCAGGACAUUCGACUCGUAAUCCUUGCGACCUCAGAAUCACUUUUGUUCAGCUGCUACACUAGCACAAUUAACUGUCCUUGAGAACAGGAAAGAGCAUUGGUAAGUAAAAGGUGAGAUUGUGUGAUUCCACAAAUUUACCCAUUCCACUAUAUCUUGCAUAAGUGCUAACAUGCCAGGAUCCAAUUCGAGCAUUCGCGGUGGUCGAUAUGGAGAAAAAGAAACAUCGGUUUCACGGGCUGAGUUAUGCCAACUACAAAACUCACUAGUGGAGGCCAUGGAGAAGAUGUUUGAUGAACGUCUUCCUAUGGUGCGCGGUCAGGCUAAACAACAUAGCUCAGCCAACUCUCGCCGUGGUCUCUUUGGCCAUAGUGGACAACAUGGAGGAGGUGCUCAUGGGCAUAGCAUUCGCACCCGUGUGCUCAUUGACGAAGAAGAUUACUGUGUGUCCCCCAAAAGAAAAAUUCAGCAAGGGUGCCAAGAGUUCAAUCAGGACUCGUUUCGGGGAUUAUGCUCCAAAGACCUAAAGGAUCAAGGAUAAUUGUUCAAUCAAUGUCGGUUUGAUCCGAUGGCCCAUAUUCACUUGGAAGGACUAUAAAACCAGACCCCCUGGCCCCUGGAGGAGGGCACCUCUCAACCCUAAUUCAUUAUUCAUCAGGGAGAAGAAGCCUCUGAUCAAGCCUAGAGCCACCACAUCAAUUAGAUAUCUAGAUUAGCAUAGGUACAGAGGAUUAGAACUAGAAGGAGUCAAUCUUCGAUUGGUUUCCGGAUCUGUCAAGAGGAUUCUUGGUAAUUCUCUAUUGUUCUUCAAUUGUUCAUCUUUGUUCUUCGAUAUUAUGAAUAUGACUUUGUUCUACUUCAAUAUAUUGAUUAUGACUUUGCCCUACUUGUUUAUAUUCGCAAUUAUAUUGUUCUUAGUUUAUCGUAGUUAUAUACUUGGCUUAGUUAGAUUGGAAUUAUAUACUUGUUUAGGAUCGUAUAGCGUUUAUCCAUCGGAUCCAUGGGUAAAUGAUAGAUAUGUGUAGGCAUGGUGCUUAUACCGUAUUUAUCUGCGAUUGUACCCUAUAUGCCAGAUCGUGGGGUAGUUCGUGGUAGUGACAGCUCCAUUGAUUCUUAUAUAGUCCCCCUCUCGUGUAUUGGGCUGGCAGAGCAACAUUAUUACAGGGGAGUGCUUGCGAUGUUUCUCAUAUUCCUUGAUAAUAUCACUAUGCAUGGGCGUAGUCCUGUCUCACAAUGAUUGUUAAGUAUAAUUGCACUAACUAUGAUAUGCUAGACUGUAUAGUUAAGAAUAAUUUAGGAAAUAUUCUUGUAGUUCGUCCUAAUACCAUGCUAAUGACUUGCUAGAAUAUCUAAUUGAGGUGCUUAUCAUAUUUAUAUGUGGCUAAGUUAUGCUGAUCAAAUUAAUUAUCUUUGUCAUCAUUCAUUACUUUAUAUAUCCUUUAUGUGACACUUAUCCCUGUAUGAAAGAGUUAGAUAAAUGUUCUCAAUUAUACAUGCAAUGAUAGAUACUCAAUCUUAUAUUCCAUUCUAUAAUCAACAUUGAUGAUUACAAAUCCCUUCCCAGUGGUAAAAAUAUAAAUAACGAUACCUGGAAUACUUCCCGGUUAAAAUGCUACAUCAGUAUUAAUCUGUGCGCUUGCAGAUUCCAUUCAUUAUUUAUUUAGAUGAGCAAUUGCAUAUUUCAAUACCGCAUCUCUCAUGUCAUGUUGGGGAGGAAAACUUGGCUUAAGUGGUAUGAGGGAUAGGUUUGGCAUUUUUGGCGCCGUUAUCAGAAUUAGAAAACUAAGUCUACUUUUGGUAAUGACGUUAAGAAUACCCAACAAGCAUUUUUGGCGCCAUUGCUGGGGAAGGUUGAUUACUAAUCAGGAAUGAAUAUAGGAUUUUGAGUCAUCAUUCGCAUCACUAAUAUGAUUGAGCAUAUCAAUUCUCUCAUACAGUUUUACCCAUAUAUUUUUCUAUUUUAUCUUAUGCAGGGGAAUGUAUGAAUAGAAGACAUCUUCGAGGAAAUUUUAUUGACAAUCCCGAAGCGUUAUUCAGAAAAACAAGAGCCAAGCUCAAAAAGAGAUCAUCAACACUUCAGCACGAAGCUUCAUCCAAUCAAGAAAAUCACCGGAACUUGUCUUCAAAGUUCGAAGUCGUGGUGAACAAAUCGAUCCGUGCGUUCACAGCUCCCACUACGGACAACAUCCGCACUGGACCUGCUGUAGAGAUCAAUGGCAACUUUGAGCUCAAGCCUGGACUUAUCAACAUGGUGCAAUCCAACCAGUUCUGUGGGAAGGCACACGAAGAUGCUAGUGCUCAUCUCCAACACUUCCUGGAGAUUUGCAACACAUUCACCAUAUCAGGAGUCCCCAGAGAUGCUAUACUACUUCGCCUCUUCCUGUUCUCACUGUUGGGGAGAGCGAAGCAGUGGUUCUACACUACAAAGGAGAAGAAUACUACGUGGGCACUCUGCUCCAUGAACUUUCUGGCUAAGUUCUUUCACAUGGGCAAGACCAAUGCUCUCCGUGGGAAGAUUACAAGUUUUCAGCAACAACAUGAUGAAUAUGUUCCAGAAGCAUGAGAGCGCUUCCAAGACUACAUCCUAGAAUGUCCCCAUCAUGGAAUGGAGAGGUGGCUACUGAUGCAGACGUUUUAUCAUGGGCUUAGCAACAGUGCCCGAGAAACCAUGGAUGCUGCAGCUGGAGGAGCAUUCCUAUCACUUACCAUAUCACAAGCCACAGCUCUUGUGGAGAAGAUGGCGUCCAACCAAAGCUAGAAUGAAGAAAGGACCCAGACACGCAAGAGAGGUGGAGGUAUACAUCAGCUCAAGGAGGUAGACAUGUUGUCUGCAAAGCUAGACCUGCUCAUGAAGAAGCUCAAUGAUGGAGCUGGAGAUAAGAAAGAAGUUAUGCACAUCUAUGACUCUCACAUGACUUGUGAGGAGUGUGGAGAUACUGGACAUUCAGGCAAUCACUACCCUGAGAUGCUUGAGGAUGUGAACUACAUCAACAACAACAACUACUACUACUACAACCGUCCUCAACAAAAUCAAGGUUGGAAUCAACAAAGGCCUAACUACUCAGGUAAUUAUCAAGGUAACAAUUCUUACAACAAUAAUAAUAAUAAUUUUCCACCUCUGAGAGAGUUAGUGUCUAAUCAAGGGAAGCUAAUGGAUAACCUAUCUAAGAAAUUGGCAUCUAAUGAUAAAAUGCUAGAAAAUAUAAAUAAUAGAAUGGAUAAUUUCUCUACUGCCAUCAAGAAUCAAAUUAGCUUUAAUAAAAUGAUUGAAUCUCAGUUAAAUCAAAUAGCUGUUGCUGUUCCUGCUACUAACCCCGGUAUACCAUCACAACCGGAAGGAUUAGAAUCUGCAAAUCUUGUAGACAUGUUUGAUGCAGGUAACUACUAGAGUAACCCCAUCAGUGAAGUUACUACUGACCUUUUGCCGGUCAAGAGAGGCGAUCCAGGACGCCCCGUCAUCCCGAUCUCCACCGGCAUGGUGGACUUCCCAGAAGCACUCUGCGACUUUGGCUCUAGCGUCAACAUUAUGCCCAGGGUACUCUAUGAAAAAUUCUUUACAUAUCCUUUAGUAGAAACAACCAUGUGUUUGUAGUUUGCAGAUCAGACAAUAAGUUUUCCAAAAGGAAUAUUGAAGAACCUUUGCGUCAGAGUUGGUACCUUGUACGCCCUAGCAGACUUCGUGGUGAUAGAGACCGGUAAUGAUGAGAGGGCACCCAUCAUCUUAGGGAGGCCAUUCGUGAACACCUCGGGAGCUGUCAUCUACGCUAGUGCUGCCAAAAUCAGUUUCUACAUCAAAGGGAGGAAGGAGACGUUUUUCUUCAAGAACAAGACUAUACAAAUGCUAGAGCAAUCCCGACAUGAACCAAGAAGAGGACCAACAGGAGGAACAGGAACAAGCAAGUGUGGACCGAAUCAGCUAAGAUGGUUACUACAGUUCAUGAGGACAAGAUCAUCGACUUAAGUCACCUUUUCUGACCAAGAAGGAUGACCCAGGAAUGCCAAGCAUCUAUUGCUCCAUAAAUGGAUACAACUUCUACAAGACGACUUGCGACACCGGAUCGAGCGUCAACAUAAUGGCCGCAGUCACCUAUCGGCUCUUGUUCGGAAUCGUGCCCUUAAAACCAACAUACAUUCAGCUCCAGAUGGCAGAUCAUACAUUUUGGGAGGUUAAAGGUAUAGUAACUGAUGUCUCUGUCAAAAUAGACGAUCAUUUUGUCUACACAGACUUUCAGGUUAUUGACAUGGGAGAAGACGAAUACGAUCCACCCGUCAUCCUUGGAAGACCGUUCCUCAGCACUGUUAAAGCAAUCAUCUACAUUGGAACUGGAGAAGUCCAUAUGCACUUCCCCUCAGCGAAGGUACGCCACUAUUUUACUGACCCUAACUAUAUCAUUGAAGACUCUAAGCAGGUCAGAAGAAGAUGACGUAACCGCAACCAGAAGAGGCAAAUCAUCAAGGAUGGAUGGGCAGACUAUGAAGGAGAAGUGAUAAGGUCUGAAGACAUACAGCUUGAACAGAAUUAUCCUGAGAAGACCGUAGCACCAAGUCAGGUGUGGAGAGAGAAGAUAACAAUACACGAAGAAGAGGCUCCACUGAAAGCACCGACUGCGCCACCCAAUGAAUCCCAAGACAACUAGAAAAUAGAGAGUCCCGUUCGGGGGACAUAAAAACACCGAACGCCUUGCCAAGAGGUAAACUUGGUAGUUAUCCUUUCCCUUUAUUUAAAAUAGUUUACUUAGUUAAUCAUGUUCAUACUAUCCUAAAAAGAAAAUAAAAAUGUUAAAAAACAGUAAGCCCCAUGUGAGUAUACGAGUGGCAUGAAACCCAUAAGUACAUUCACUGUGGUGGCAUAAAAAUAAAAUAAAUAUUUCUUUUCUGUUCUAUAAAAUGAAAAUAUAAAAAUAGAGAGUAAUAUUUAUUGAGGAGGCUCAACAUGAUAAAGGCUAGAUAUUUAUGCUAACACCUAAUCAGUUCUACAAAGCUUUGUUGUCUAUUUGAGCUCCACAGAAUUUAAGAAUCAAGAAGACUAGCACACGGAGGACAUUCUAAUCGUUGUCCGGAUACUGCCGACUUUCAAACACCUCUGGUACCUGCUAGCUAUAUCUGAAGAAAUUACGUCAAAAUUCAGCUUGGGGGAGAGCACCCCCAUUUAUCCUGCUAAGUAUUUCUAUCUAUCUUUAUACUUAUACUAUAAUAAAAUAUAAAUAUACAUAACUAUGGAAAACCAAAUAAAGAUUUUGUGCUUAUAUAUAUAUAUAUAUCUUUUGCUUAGUGUGCUUAAUAAAUAAACAAAGUGGCUAUGCUAAACUGAAUCUAAAAAAUAAAACUCUAGCAUGGAUAUGAUGAAUAGUUGCUCUGCCUAAUUUUUCAAAAUUUGAAGUUCUCUCUCAAGUUUAGACAUAACUGUUAUAAUUUAAAGCUUACUCUAAACCUGAACUUGUGGGAGGAGAACUUAAUCUGAAGUCUAGGUUGUUAACGGAUAUGAUAUGGGAAGGUUGAGCUGCUGUUUAUCUGUUCCUAGAGAUGCUAGAAUUCUGGAGAAUUUUAUCUUUGAAAAAUCUUUAAAAUACUACAUGAUGAGUUCCUGUAUGAUGAGAGUUUAAAUUACUACCACAGCCAUAUAUACAUGCUUGCUAGACUUUGAGCCACACAUUUACUUUUUACUACUUAUGAGCAUUGAGUGUGGUCAACCUGUGUAGACCCUUAGGAGCUUGUCAUGUGGUUAAAUCAAGAUUCACUUGCACGUUCACUCACACAUGCUACUUCUACUUCGGAAGUACGCUUCCACAUAUAUCCAUUCAUUUCCAUCUCCAGAACCACCCAAAAAUAUUCUACUCCUAAUCCGGGAGAGAAUAGCCAAAAACAUUUCUGUUUUCCCCUGUUAAAUAAAUGCUCAACUUAUCUUGGUUACUACCACUUGCUAUAUUAUUUCAUGAGAUGAGUGCUCUAAAAAAAACAAAUAUAAAGAAGAUACAAGGAAAUAAAAAGGGGCAAGUGUCCGGAACCUCGAAAGAAAAGAAAAAAGUGAGACGAGAGGAAAAAAUGGACAAGUGUCCGACAGUACAAUUAGGGGUACAAGAUACCCACCUGAGAGGAAUGAAAAACAAAAAAAUAUAGAGCAUCUCAUUCUCCGCACAAAGUUUCAAAGAGCAAGGAAGGUAUGUAUCCCCUCAAAGAGCAAAAGUAGAAUUAGACUUUCACCAUUGUUAUCAUCAUCAUCACCAUACACCAUUCAUUCGCCACACAUGCACAUCUUGAUUUGACUUAUUGGCUUGUUUAUUUGGAUCCAUGGUUUGACUAUGCAAUAAAUGUCUUGUAAGUAUGUAUACUUUAUCUCCCACCUAUGAGCUCCAGAUAUCAAAAGCCUUAUUAGAGUAAGAUGAGAGAGAAGGCAAUGUCACUAUGCCUUAUACUACAAAUACUACAUACUUUGAGAGAAGACAUAUACCAUCACUGCCUUGGUAAGGAUCCAGAAAUACCACAAAAGAGAGAUCUGAGAGAGUCAUACAAGGAAUCUCUGAGUUUUAUUUUAAAAUCUACAAAAACUUCAGAGCUAUAGCUGAUCAAGAAUAAGAGACAUGGCACUUGACUAGACUGUUCUAUCUUUUAACUACUCAAGACAGAAGUGACGGUUACAAGUCCCAUGGUAAAAGGUAAAAUAAAUAAGUUUUAAGUCUUGAUAGUUUACUCUAACUCAGAGAUGAGACCUCAUUUAGAAGCAUGAGUACCGUCAAUUUUCAAAGGCAUUACAACAACUUUUGAACCAUCGCUGAGAUUAUCCCUGCUCAGGGACGAGCAAGAGGUAAGCUUGGGGGAGUUUGUUGACGGUCCUUAAGUAUCAAAUUUAAUUAUCAAAUAAACAAAGAAAAGGAUCCAAAUGAAAUCAACAUCCAGACUUAGGGUUAUAUCUGACAGAAUUCCACAAGUUUUGGUGUUUGUCUAUUUUUGCAGGGGGUUAUCAGGAAAUACGGAAGAAAGGCCCACACGUCGGGAUUACAUAGAGAUAUUAAUGUGCCGUGCAAUUAUCUUACAUCUAGAAGAGUCCAGAAGCCGCGGGAACGAACGGGAAGGCGAUCGGGCCUGGGGGCAGGGCGCCCGCCCUCCCCCCUAGGGCUCCCGCCCUGACCUAGAGUUCAAUCUGGACUCGUUUCGAGGAUUAUGCUCCACCGACCUAAAGGAUCAAGGAUAAUCGUUCAAUCAAUGUCGGUUUGAUACGACGGCCCAUAUUCACUUGGAAGGACUAUAAAACCAGACCCCCUGGCCCCUGGAGGAGGGCACCUCUCAACCCUAAUUCAUUAUUCAUCAGGGAGAAGAAGCCUC
rnacentral:lncRNA from 1 species